rnacentral:lncRNA from 1 species
CCUGUCGGAGUUACCUUGUCAGGGGGAGAUUCGCUUUCCUGUCUUUCGAGACUGACUCUGCUUUGGACGCUGAUUCCGUGACUUUGUGGGUCAGUGUAUCCUUUGAAGGCUUAAAAAAAAGUCUGUGUUACAUCUGUGUGUGGGCACAUCCUAGGGUUUCUUUGGCCUCUUGAGGAGGGCACGGCUCUGGAUGCUUCUUGGUUGUCCCAAGGGCUCAGCCUGAACUUGAAACGCCUGUCGUCACUGUGCAGGCUCUGGGAACUGAAGCCAAACUCUCAUUUACUCUGUUUCUUAAAAUGAUCGUAGAGAAACCAAAGACGCUGGAGUUCCCGUGGCGCAGUGGGUUACGAAUUCGACCGUAGGAGUUCCCGCUGGGGCUCAGGGCUUAAGGAACCCGACUUGUCUCCAUGAGGACUCGAGUUUGAUCCCUGGCCUCGCUCAGUGGGUUAAGGAUCCAGCAUGGCCAUGGGCUGUGGUGUGGGUGGCAGACGUGGCUCGGAUCCUGUGUUACUGUGGUGUAAGUGGGUGGCUACAGCUCCGAUUUGACCCCUAGCCUGGGAACCUCUGUGUGCUGCAGGUAUGGCCCUAAAACGACAAAUGACCAAAAAAAAAAAAAGCGAAAAUACCAAACCAAACCAACCAACCCCCCCCCCCACCGCACAAAACCAGUGUACACCCUUCAAUUAAACAAUAACGCUCUUGGAAAACUGUCACUAAUAGACUUGCUCAGUCUAUCAGCUGCCACAACCCUUCAAUUUAAAAAAAAACAAAAGAAAAAACUUCAUUUCUAGGAAGUGCAGUGGUAUAGAACACAAUAAAAGGCGAUACGCCUGUUUCUACCUUAUACAUGUCACACCAGGAGUGGAGCUCUGCUUGAUGGGGGCAAGGUGGGGAGACACGCUUCUGUCUCCUCCUGAUCCUCGCCUGCAAGUCUGAGGUGCAGCUGAUUUGUAUGCAUCGAGGAGGCACUCGGGGACAUGAGUGUUUGACGAGUGUUGGUUGGCUUUGGAGGAUGAAACCCAGAACACAAAAGCCGAGCUCCCUGCGCGUUCCCUGUCUUCGAGCUCCCUGGCCAGGUGUUGGUAUCUGUUCGGCUUUGCUGUGGCCGAGUCAGAUGUGCUGGGGAGAGCAGUCCGGUCCUUCCCUGUUCUCUGGAGCAGCCGGGGUAAGUGUCCGCUGUGUGUCUGUGCGUGUGUGUGUUUCAUAAGGACGUGCUUGUUCAGAAGCACGUGAAAUCCAGACACACUUCCAGACGCAGAGGCCACUUGGGGGUCAAAUUUUAAACCACAGUUUCAACAUAUUUAACACAGACCACAAUUCAGAUCUGUUUUUGGCCUUUUUUUUUUUUUUUUUUUUUUUUUUUUUCCCUGUUUCAGGGCCACACCCGAGGCCUAUGGAAGUUCCCAGGCUAGGGUUCAAACCAGAGCUGCAGCUGGCAGCCUCGACCACAGCCACAUCGACACGGGGUCAGAGCCACAUCUGCGACCUAGAGCACAGCUCAUGGCAACGCCGGAUCCUUCACCCACUGAGCGGGGCCAGGGAUCCAGCCUGCAUCCUCAUGGAUGCUAGUUGGAUUCAUUACCACUGAGCCAUGACGGGAACUCCAAGGUUUGUUAUUUCUGUUUAUCUCCAUCAUUUUAGUAAAUUGUAUUUUUGAGGAUUUUUGUCCCUCAAACUUGUCUGGAUUUCAUCUGAAUUUUCUUGUGGCAUAAAAUUGUUCACACAGUUCUGUUUAUUUGUGUAUUUAGUUUUUCUUUUCUGGCCUCCCUGCGGCAUGCGGAAUUCCGAGGCCAGGGAUCAGGUCUGAGUCGUAUGCAGUGUCUGCGGCAAUGCUGGACCCUUAACACCCGGUGCCAGGCCGGGGAUCGAACCUGCAUCCUAGUGGUCAGAGAUCCUGCUGAUCCCGUGAGCCACGGUGGGAACUCCAUAAAGUUCUUUACUUAAAACUGUAGGGGAGUUCCCUUGUGGCUCAGUGGGUUAAGGAUCCGGCAUUGUCAUUGUUGUGGUGAGGGUUUGAUCCCUGGUCCAGGACCUUCUGCAUGAUGCAGGCGUGGCCAGAAAAGAAAAACCCCAGAAAACCCCAUCUGUAGGGUCUGCGUAGUGUCCCGACAAGGGUCACGUGUGCCUUCGUCCCUUGACCCUUGGUUCCCGUGCCUGGGGUUUGAGCGUGUGAUCGGUGUUGGCAAGAAUGGCAUGUUGGCUCUCUG